rnacentral:lncRNA from 1 species
CUAGGCCAUGGGAUGCCCCAUGGGUGCCCAAGGGCACCCAAGGGCGCUGUUGAGCACCAAGGGGUGCAAGAUGGCACCAUGGGCACCCAAAGGUCCUCUUGGUUCUCAUGAGCUGCAGGGUGCCCCAUGGGAACCGUUGAGCAGCUAGGGGUGCAGGAUGGCACCAUGGGCACCCAAAGGUCCUCCUGGUUCUCAUGAGCUGCAGGGUGCCACAAGGGCACCGCUGAGCACCGAGGGGCACAGGAUGGCACCAUGGGCACCCAAGGGCACUGCUCAGCACCAAGGGGUGCAGGAUGGUGCCCCAAGCACCCAAAGGUGCUCCCGUUUCCCAUGGGCUGAAGGAUGCCUCAAGAGCACCAUUGAACACCAAGAGGUGCAGGAUGCCCCAUGGGCACCCAAAGGUGCUCUUGGUUCCCGUGAGCUGCAGGAUGCUCCAAGGGCACCGUUGAGCACCAAGGGGUGCAGGAUGGCAUCAAGGGCACCCAAGGGCACUGCUCAGCACCAAGAGGUGCAGGAUGGCAUCAGGGACACUCAAAGGUGCUCUUGGUUCCCAUGAGCUGCAGGAUGCCCCAAGGGCACCGUUGAGCACCAAGGGGCGCAGGAUGGCAUCAGGGGCACCCAAAGGCACCGUUGAGCACCGAGGGGCGCAGGAUGGCAUCAGGGGCACCCAAGGGCACUGCUCAGCACCAAGGGGCGCAGGAUGGCAUCAGAGGCACCCAAGGGCACCGUUGAGCACCAAGAGGUGCAGGAUGCCCCAUGGGCACCCAAAGGUGCUCCUGGUUCCCACAGGCUGAAGGAUGCCUCAAGGGGACCGUUGAGCACCAAGGGGUGCAGGAUGGCAUCAGGGGCACCCAAGGGCAUCGUUGAGCACCGAGGGGCGCAGGAUGGCACCGGGAGGUGGUGGCGGUGGUGGGUGGUGGCAGACGGGACCCCCACCCACCUCUCUAGUCGCCGGGCUCGGGGCGGGCAGCGCGAGGCACGAGGCAGACGGCGCCGUCGGGCGCCAGGCGCAAAGCGAAGCUCUCGGGGGGCAGCGGGUUGCCGGCGGCGUCGCGCAAGGCGCCCAACACCUGCCGCGAGAGGCGCCCCAAAUCGCGGCGCAGAGCACCCAGCGCCCGUUCGGCCAAGCCGCGGUCGCGCAGCAGGCGCUCGCGCUCGCGCCCCAGGCGGCUCAGCUCGCCCUGGAGGCGGGCGAUGGUCUCGAGCUUGCGGCGGCGGCAGUUCUGCGCCGCCACCUUGUUCUUGCCGCGCCGGCGGAUGUCGCGCACCAGCGCCAGCUGCGGCUCCGACAGCGGGUAACGGCCCACCAGGGCGUUGAAGUCCUCCACGGGCAGGUUGACGAUCUUCUCCGUAGGGAUGGGGAUGCGCAG